rnacentral:snRNA from 1 species
ACUUGAACAUCCAAUUUUUCGGA